CAUGCANGUCGAGCGGUAGCACARGRGAGCUUGCUCUCUGGGUGACGAGCGGCGGACGGGUGAGUAAUGUCUGGGAAACUGCCUGAUGGAGGGGGAUAACUACUGGAAACGGUAGCUAAUACCGCAUAACGUCGCAAGACCAAAGAGGGGGACCUUCGGGCCUCUUGCCAUCAGAUGUGCCCAGAUGGGAUUAGCUAGUAGGUGGGGUAAUGGCUCACCUAGGCGACGAUCCCUAGCUGGUCUGAGAGGAUGACCAGCCACACUGGAACUGAGACACGGUCCAGACUCCUACGGGAGGCAGCAGUGGGGAAUAUUGCACAAUGGGCGCAAGCCUGAUGCAGCCAUGCCGCGUGUGUGAAGAAGGCCUUCGGGUUGUAAAGCACUUUCAGCGAGGAGGAAGGUGGUGAGCUUAAUACGUUCAUCAAUUGACGUUACUCGCAGAAGAAGCACCGGCUAACUCCGUGCCNVVVCVCCGCGGUAAUACGGAGGGUGCAAGCGUUAAUCGGAAUUACUGGGCGUAAAGCGCACGCAGGCGGUUUGUUAAGUCAGAUGUGAAAUCCCCGGGCUCAACCUGGGAACUGCAUUUGAAACUGGCAAGCUAGAGUCUCGUAGAGGGGGGUAGAAUUCCAGGUGUAGCGGUGAAAUGCGUAGAGAUCUGGAGGAAUACCGGUGGCGAAGGCGGCCCCCUGGACGAAGACUGACGCUCAGGUGCGAAAGCGUGGGGAGCAAACAGGAUUAGAUACCCUGGUAGUCCACGCUGUAAACGAUGUCGAUUUGGAGGUUGUGCCCUUGAGGCGUGGCUUCCGGAGCUAACGCGUUAAAUCGACCGCCUGGGGAGUACGGCCGCAAGGUUAAAACUCAAAUGAAUUGACGGGGGCCCGCACAAGCGGUGGAGCAUGUGGUUUAAUUCGAUGCAACGCGAAGAACCUUACCUACUCUUGACAUCCAGAGAACUUUCCAGAGAUGGAUUGGUGCYUUCGGGAACUCUGAGACAGGUGCUGCAUGGCUGUCGUCAGCUCGUGUUGUGAAAUGUUGGGUUAAGUCCCGCAACGAGCGCAACCCUUAUCCUUUGUUGCCAGCGGUUCGGCCGGGAACUCAAAGGAGACUGCCAGUGAUAAACUGGAGGAAGGUGGGGAUGACGUCAAGUCAUCAUGGCCCUUACGAGUAGGGCUACACACGUGCUACAAUGGCAUAUACAAAGAGAAGCGACCUCGCGAGAGCAAGCGGACCUCAUAAAGUAUGUCGUAGUCCGGAUUGGAGUCUGCAACUCGACUCCAUGAAGUCGGAAUCGCUAGUAAUCGUAGAUCAGAAUGCUACGGUGAAUACGUUCCCGGGCCUUGUACACACCGCCCGUCACACCAUGGGAGUNGGGUUGCAAAAGAAGUAGGUAGCUUAA
rnacentral:rRNA from 1 species